rnacentral:rRNA from 1 species
AUUCUAAAAAGUAUUUUAAUGAAAAACACGAUAACAUACCGAACUCGAUGAUUUAUUAAUUUAAAUCAAUAAUAUUCUAUAAAGGAUAAAAUUGAAAAACCAUU